AUCAACAGUAGUCGGGCCACUGCUGUCAGGGGAAUUACAAGCGUGCCCAGAAAAAAAGCUGUAGGAAAUUGUCUCUCCACGGGCGUAAUAAUUUUCGAACUUUCUGCAAAUAGCUGUCAUUUAUUUAAUAGCGCGCAUACGCAGCGUUUUUGGUUUAAAUAAUUAAAAUGCGCGGAUGCUAAGUGAAAAUCAUUAUGAAAAACAUUUACAAACUGGCCUGCGUUGGCCAUUUAGGGUGUGUUUGUGUUGGGCAAACAAAUCAUCGGUGUGCAACAAAAACAAUUCAAAGUUUGCUGCAAACAAAUUGCGGAGCUAUCAAGAUUAUGGUGAAACAGGUGUAAAAAGGAAAUUGUUGUUUUUAACAGCCGGUUUAUAUUUCGUACAAAAUUUAUUUAUAUAUUGCGCAAUGGACAGCGUGAGCAAAUCUCUGGCUUUUUAGUUUCCCAAUUUGAAACGCCAAUUAUUACGCUUUUUCCCAUUUUCCAGAUGGAUCCGUCCCUUUUAAAGCGAGCAAAGCUGAAAAAUGUAUUAAACAUCCCCUUUCCGGAAAUCUGCAUUUUUAUAGUGACAACUGGCAGCAUUGGUGUGUAUGCUUUGAAAAAAUUAUUUCGCGCUUAAACUACGGAACAAGAAUAAAAACAUAAUCGAAAGGCUCACAGCUUUUGACAUUUGAA